rnacentral:rRNA from 1 species
GACGAACCGUGCGAACGUUGUUCGGAAUCACUGGGCUUAAAGGGCGCGUAGGCGGGCGGCCGCGUCCGGGGUGAAAUCCCACGGCUCAACCGUGGAACGGCCUCGGAUACGGGCGGGCUCGAGGGGGGUAGGGGCAUCUGGAACUGUGAGUGGAGCGGUGAAAUGCGUUGAUAUCGUCUGGAACGCCGAAGGUGAAAACAGCUCGCUGGGGCUGCGCUGACGCUGAGACACGAAAGCCAGGGGAGCGAACGGG